AGGAAACACCUCUGUGAUUUUAAUCCUUUAAAUCAGGUUUUAGUCUGAAGGAGACGUGGAUGUCGGAGAUGUCGGAGAUGUCGUUGGUCCAGAUAAACCAGGAUCAGGCAGAGAAAAACUCUCUUUGUGUUUGUAGGAGUGUACAGAUCUCUAACAGAGCGGGUCAGAGGAGUCAGGACUGGAGGAGGGAAAGUCUGGAUUCCUGCUGAACCGCUGACUCAAACUGUAAAUCUGUGACCAACAUAAAACCGACGCCAAACACCGAUCAAUACAGUUUUUAAUCCACCCUACACACUCUGCUUUCUUCACCAGCUGCUGAGGUUUACACAAACCAAGAGGUACAACGACGAGAAAGAGAGGAAAAUCCAAAUUUAAGAGAUAAGAUAAACCCUACAGCAACAUAAAAAGGCUAAAAAGAGACUUAAAACCUUA